GACGAACCGUGCGAACGUUGUUCGGAAUCACUGGGCUUAAAGGGCGCGUAGGCGGGCUGACAAGUCUGGGGUGAAAUGCCGCGGCUCAACCGUGGAACUGCCUCAGAUACUGUCGGCCUCGAGGAAGGUAGGGGCAUGCGGAACAUUGGGUGGAGCGGUGAAAUGCGUUGAUAUCCAAUGGAACUCCGGUGGCGAAAGCGGCGUGCUGGACCUUUUCUGACGCUGAGGCGCGAAAAGCUAGGGGAGCAAACGGG
rnacentral:rRNA from 1 species